UCCAGGGUAGCCUAGAGGACAUGGCAUCUGCCCGGUAUGCGGAAGAUUGUGUGUUCGAUUCCCGCCCCUGGAC
rnacentral:tRNA from 1 species